ACUUUUUUAUUAUAAAUAAUUAUAUUUGAUUUCCAAUCAAAAGAUCUUAAUAAAAGAAAAAGUA
rnacentral:tRNA from 1 species